UACGGAGGGGGCGAGCGUUAUUCGGAAUUAUUGGGCGUAAAGGGCGCGUAGGCGGCUGUACAAGUCAAAGGUGAAAUCCCUCGGCUCAACUGAGGAACUGCCUUUGAAACUGUACGGCUUGAGGCCGGGAGGGGGUAGCGGAAUUCCCAGUGUAGCGGUGAAAUGCGUAGAUAUCUGGAGGAACACCGGUGGCGAAGGCGGCAUCCUGGACCAACACUGACGCUGAGGAGCGAAAGCCAGGGGAGCAAACGGG
rnacentral:rRNA from 1 species